rnacentral:lncRNA from 1 species
AAAACCCUAGUCUUAUCCCCAUCCCAACCCAAAUGGCGCUCCAUCUUCAUCUCUUUCAUUUGUCGCGCCCAACAUCACCAGAACUCACCUCUGCCUCGCCCGAAUUCGCCCGAGUUCACCCCAAAAACUCACCUCACGUGCUCCAACCUCUCUCCUAUAGCCACGUAGCAACCAACUCUGACAACAAGAAGAUUCCUUCCAGAUAUUUUACGCGCCUUCAGCUUCUCGAUUGAUUUGCUAGAUGAAUGGGGUCGUGGAUGUAUGAAAAUCAAUCUAUACCCUCCAUUUGUCCCAAAAAUCGUUCACAAGGAAUAAGGGAUUUUUCGAAUUUGAGGAGAAGAUUCGAGAAUUUUUUAGAGGUGAUAUAAGGUGAGGAUGUUCUUGUUUGGGUUGGGGGGGGGGGUUCUUCUUUUUUGGGGGAUUUUUGAGAGAUUUCUUUAAGAGAAAUUGAAGGAAGAAAAUUAGGGUUCAAAACUUUCUUCUUCUUUUCCAUUGUUCUUCUUCAUUUUCUUAUACCAUAACAGAGAAAAAAAUAUUAUUGAGGUUCCAUGAUUUCACUUGGUGUCAGUUUAUUUAGCAUUUCGAAAUAAUAGAGUUUUUUUACUUCGAUUCUGAUUUUUGGGCGAACAAUGGAAUUCGUCGAGAAGUGUGAAUCUGUUGCUUUUUAUUGAGCUGUAGUUGUCCUCUUUGGUUCUGUGGUGCUUUUAUUCUUCAGAAACCAGAGAUUCAUUUUCCUUUUCCUUUUGCUGUGUUGCUCACGAGGUAUGAAACUUCGAUAUUUUGUAUCGAAUGUAUUAAGAAUGUUACAGCUUUGAGAACUUGCAUCUAUGGCAUGUUUAGUGGUUAAUGAAUCUAUCUUGUCGUGGUUUUCCGUCUCUGAGUUCGAAUGAAUAUCUAUUUUUGUUCAAACGGAUAUAUGUUGUGAUUGCAUAGUUCACCUGAAUUAUGUCCUGUUACUAAUGAAUUUGAUUAGUUUUUGAUGUCUCUGCAAAGCUUUCUUGCUAAUGUUGUUUGAAUUGCACUGCCAUAUACGGCCUAUGCAUAUCUUUAGGUUUAAAUGAAUCCAAUCCAUGCUAUGUUGCAGCUGUAGGUCUGUUCUUAUUUGCAAAGGUUUGAAUGUCGAUUCAUGUUUGAGCUAACUCUAAAUGAUGUCUGAAAUGCUGUUUGCCUUUCUAGGUUCGAGAUGCAUUUUUGCGUCUGAAUCGUAUGCUCCUGUUUGCCUUUCUAGGUUCGAGAUGCAUUUUUGCGUCUGAAUCGUAUGCUCCUGUUGGCUCAUUAUGCUGAAAUUUGUCUCAAAACUAGAUUUGUUGUGCAGUGUAUUAUGUUUGCUCCUGUGAAAUCAGCGAUUCCUGCCCCAA